UAAGGAAUAUUGGUCAAUGGACGCAAGUCUGAACCAGCCAUGCCGCGUGGAGGAUGAAGGUCCUCUGGAUUGUAAACUUCUUUUAUCUGGGAAGAAACCCNCGAWUUCUUUUGUGGUUGACGGUACCAGAUGAAUAAGCACCGGCUAACUCCGUGCCAGCAGCCGCGGUAAUACGGAGGGUGCAAGCGUUAUCCGGAUUCACUGGGUUUAAAGGGUGCGUAGGYGGGYWGGUAAGUCAGUGGUGAAAUCUCCGRGCUUAACUCGGAAACUGCCAUUGAUACUAUCUGUCUUGAAUAYCGUGGAGGUNAGCGGAAUAUGUCAUGUAGCGGUGAAAUGCUUAGAUAUGACAUAGAACACCAAUUGCGAAGGCAGCUSGCUACACKAWUAUUGACACUGAGGCACGAAAGCGUGGGGAUCAAACAGGAUUAGAUACCCUGGUAGUCCACGCCCUAAACGAUGGAUACUCGACAUMCGCGAUACACUGUGUGUGUCUGAGCGAAAGCAUUAAGUAUCCCACCUGGGAAGUACGAYCGCAAGRUUG
rnacentral:rRNA from 1 species